CUUGCAGGGAAACCAGCCUCCCAUAACUCCCCUGCCCACAUUCAGCAUCAACCAGAUGGAGAAAGUGCUCAGAAUACAGACCUAGCCAAGUCAGAAGAUGUAAGUGGAGACCAGACACCGAGAGUCCACUCUACUUGGGCCAGCAAGAUUUGAUGGGACAAUCCAGGACCUUGGGAGCAAACAGCUCACGAAAGGACAGUUACCCC